AUGUCGCUACGACAGCUGCUGGGAUGGUCGGAUGGAGAGGUAAUGCGGCCGGAGUCAAAGCCCUGCUCCGGACUGAUGCGCCACACUGCAGGUAUCUUCUCAGUUGGUGGUGGCCUUGCUUUCUGGGUGCUUUGCCGCCUUCACAGUGGUCCAAGGAUAAUGGUUACAAGGAGUCUCAGGUGGUCAUCCUGUGGAGCGGUAGGCACGAGCGCGACGGCAGCCAUGCUUGUGCGGAGCCAUCAGGUCAUCGGGUCAAAUUGGAGUAUGUUUAUGUAUCUCACGGAAGCCAUCAGGUUAACAAAGUGUAACUUAUCAGCAUUCAAAAUGUGUCCAGCAAUACAUCACUACCUCACUUCACGAGCAACGGAAACCAAAUUUGAUGCAAAAGGUACCAGCUCCAAAUUUGAUGUAAAAAGUUCCUAG
rnacentral:rRNA from 1 species